rnacentral:rRNA from 1 species
CGCUGAACCAGAGAAAGCCUGUUUUAAUGUGAUCUCGGAAGCUAAGCAGGACUGGGACUGGAUAGUAGCUGGAUGGGAGACUGCUGAGAAUACCAGGUGUGACAGUGG